rnacentral:lncRNA from 1 species
GCAGGGAGGUCAGGCGCAGACCGCGCGCAAUCAAUGGAUCAAUGCAAGCUCCGCUCGGCUCCAGACCAAACAGCACCGGGCUCCGACUCGUCCUCGCUCCCCUAGGAAAGAGUCGGGGAGCGAGGGUGCGUCCCCGCGCUCGCUCGCGAGGACGGCCGUGCGGCGCCAGGUUUGAACGCACACCUCCACCCGAGACAAAGAGGGUGCGAGGUGUUGGGGAGGCUGGGGCAGACGUGGACACACGGACACACGGGCACUCGGGCGUGUCCACCGACACAGCCUGACAGGGGACAUAGGACCUCGGAACACACCGCCUCCGACACCAGGCCGAGUAACAACCUCUCAACUUUUACACCUACCACACCCCCAACCUCAAGACUCAGUCCCCAUUCCUAGAUGCGAGUCCACUUUGAGGACCAAAAAGAAAGUAGCCUCCGCCUGCUAAAACUGCCAGCUCCAGGGCAGACUCCCUUGCAGUUAAGGCCUUGGAGGGAAAGAGGAAAGACCUCUUGAAAGGCUAUGAAGACUUUCUUGGAGUGUGAGGCUGUGUUCAGAAUGAGACCAGGCCAGGUCCAGUUUUCUACAGGGAAGAUGCUGCUAGGACCCAGACUAGCCUCACAGAGCCCUCAGCGUACCCAGGAGGAAGAGGCAAUGACCAAGAUCUCCUCAAAGAACGUAAGCUCCAUCAGAGCAGGGACCAUGUCUGGCUUGUUCACUAUCGUGUCCUCAUCAUCUCCUGUACUGCCUGCCACAUGAACCAGCUCUGUGAUCCUAAGUGAAGUCAAGGGACUGACCGGACACAUGAACCUAGAUCUCUGCAAAGAGCCCUGGGACCCAAAUGGGAGAGGUCCAGGGCCUGGUUCCAUCAUCCCUCCCUCUCUUGAUGUGUGGCCUUGCUCAAGGCGUUGGACUGCAGUGGACCUCCAUGUCCUUCUUUUGGAAAACAGAGUUAACAAUACCUGCCCCAUUCAGAGGAGAAAUGAGGUCAUGUUUGUGCAGCACAGUGAGCUCACUGGAGACAAUGAGUGUAUUCUUCUUAACAGUAACAAUAAUAAUCAUUACUGAAAAUCUAACCAGUAAAUAUAUCUCCUCAAAGCUGGAGUUGGCCCCUCAGUAGGAUAGCAAUUAAAGUUUUUUUAAAAAUCUCUAGAUGGGGAAAUUUUCUGGCUGCAUUUUGAUCUCUGGGGUUUGCAGAGUUGAUAUCAUUGUGGGAGGGAGAGAGGCCUGCAGCAAUCAUUCAUCUCAAUUCCAUUCAAUUGUACUUUUUGUAUCUCCCUUGUCCUUGAGUUCUAUCCACUGGGCUUUGCAAUUUCUCAUCCUCUAUUAGUCCUGAGGGAAAGAAGUCCCUAAAUUCCGCAUCUCCACACUCACCCGCUGUCCCAUUCACUGACAUAAACAGUGACCUGGCUACUGGAGAUCCUGGGCAUUCGAGCAUUGGCCACAAACUAUCCUGCAAAGAAAGUGGUCUGUCUUGGGUACAUGAUUCUCUUUCCUGCUCAUCCCACUUAGUGGGCCAGUGAUUCCCAAGCCGAGCUGUGCAUUCAAAGCCCCCAGGAGUGGGUCCAUGGAUUAUCAGGUGAUUCUAAUUUAGCCAGCCUAGCACCUGUCUGAAUUUGAGAAUUGCAAGGUUUUCAACCAUUAGUUGUUAAAUGUGUGUACAAGGAGCAGAGUGAUGCUAAUACAAAGGCAUUGUUGCAGUUUGGGUCAAGCUGGCAAAAGACCGUCUCUCCUGCUACAAUACACAAAAUGACAGAAAAACUCUUGGAACAAAUAAAAUAGUAAAUCCAAUAUCGUGU